CCUGGUAGUCCACCCCGUAAACGAUGAGUGCUAAGUGUUAGGGGGUUUCCGCCCCUUAGUGCUGCAGCUAACGCAUUAAGCACUCCGCCUGGGGAGUACGGUCGCAAGACUGAAACUCAAAGGAAUUGACGGGGGCCCGCACAAGCGGUGGAGCAUGUGGUUUAAUUCGAAGCAACGCGAAGAACCUUACCAGGUCUUGACAUCCUCUGACAA
rnacentral:rRNA from 1 species